GUUUACUGCCAUACCACCCUGAAUGCACCCGAUCUUGUCUGAUCUUGAAAGCAAAGCAAGGUCAGGCCUGGUUAGUACUUGGAUGGGAGACUGCCUGGGAAUACAGGGCGCUGUAGGCU
rnacentral:rRNA from 1 species